rnacentral:lncRNA from 1 species
UUGGUGGUCCUCUCUUUGUAAUGUUGAUCUGCAACUUGGUUUGAAGAAUUAUGCUACUAUUCUUUCUUCUUUAUUUUUCUACAACCUAUUUUCACAACGUAAUUGUUCUGUUAAUGUAUCAUGUGGUAUUGGCAGAGCAAGUUUUACAUGGAUUUGGUGUGUUACAAAAGUCUUCAUCUUUCACAAUCAACCUACACCUUUUCAAUUAGCUUCCUGGAAUGUAGAACAUUGGAGAUGAGUUUCUUUGCCGUUUUUCUGUGAACAAAUUAACAAG